UAGGACUAGGCAUAAUCUCUGUCCGGGAAACCACCACUUAUUGUAUGCAGAUUCAUUUUAGUAUAUUAAAAAGUUUUAAAGUUGUAAUGUACUGAAAGUACUGUUAACAUUCUAUUCAUUUUUACCAUUUGUGUUAAGUAUGUCUGCUUUUAAAAUAAAUGUAGGAGUAUUACUGAAUGUUUUGGUUACCCAGAAAUCUGUUUUUCUGCAGAUAACAAGGCAACUGAUGAAACACUAUCCAAAACUUAUGAAACUCACUGGAGGGUGGCUCCUGUACAAGCCUCUUGGUAAUUAAGAUAAAAAUAUUCUAAACUCUAAAUUGUAUUCUAAAUUUACAAAUGUGAAAAAAUUACAACAUGUUGUUAUUGUGUGACAACGAGUAAGAACCUCAGUAGUAUCUAGUUGGAUUUGUUGUCUUUAAAGGUGGAUCAGGACAGCGAAAACUGACGAUUGUCCCACCAGAAGCUGAUGGCUAUAAUGGCUAGUAUUUAAAAUCAUCAAGUGGAGGUGGAAAGAUUACCAUGUUUAUAGUUCCUCUUCAAGAGGAACUAGAUACAAUGCCUCUUCCUUCAGAUGCCAUGGAAUUUCAGAAAAUGCCAAAAGCAACCUGCCAAAACUGCAGCUUGUCCAUGCCACUACAAAUCUUGGCUAUGCAUGUUAAGUCAUGCAAUACCAUUGAACCGUCCACUGAGGAUGAUACCACUAGUUCUGGAAGGUCUUCUCCUCUUCCUGUAUUCAAUGGAUCAGCAUUACCAAAACCCAUUUCAGAAGGUGGCAGCAGCACUAGUAAAGCAAGCUCCGAGGUAUCAAAUUAACAAUAGCAUUUACCAUAAAAUUGUACUACCUAACACUAAUUCUAAUUUGUUGGGUUUUUUUUUUAACGAUAUUUAGUGGUGGAUAAAUUGACUUGCUGAUGACUCUUAAUACAUAUGUUUUCAUUGCAGUCUUAUCCUGUAGCCACUACUGCUGGAUUGUCCUCCGCAGAAGCCAGCACUAGCACUAAUAAAUCAAACAAUGAGGUAUCA
ensembl:lncRNA